rnacentral:lncRNA from 1 species
GCACCUGGAGAAAACCGGUGAACAGUGAUUGUGGCAAUGCCUUCCACUGGGAGAACAUACGAAAUCCACUCAGAGUGAACUGGAUUCAACCCCCGACUAGGGUGGCACAAUGGCGCAGUGGGUUUGACCAGGUUCUGCUCUCUGGCAGGACUGAGAUUCGAGUCCUGCUUGGGGUGCCUUGCGAUGGACUGGCGUCCUGUCCUGGAUUGGCUGAAGCCACUUGUCCCGAGUGGGGUCAUGCCAACCGGAGCCUAGCCUGGCAACACGGGACAUGGGUCUGGAGGAGGAGGGGACACACCCUGGACGGGAUACUGCUCUAUUAGAAGGCACCCAAGCAGGACUCAAACCCCAGAUCUACCAGAGAGCAUCCCCUGGCCAAGCCCGCUGCACGACCGCACCUGCACGACAUUCAUAUCCUUUCCAGCA